AACGAACGCUGGCGGCAUGCCUAACACAUGCAAGUCGAACUAGACCUUCGGGUCUAGUAGCGCACGGGUGCGUAACGCGUGGGAACCUGCCCUUAGGUUCGGAAUAACUCCCCGAAAGGGGUGCUAAUACCGGAUAAUGUCUUCGGACCAAAGAUUUAUCGCCUUUGGAUGGGCCCGCGUUGGAUUAGCUAGUUGGUAGGGUAAAAGCCUACCAAGGCGACGAUCCAUAGCUGGUCUGAGAGGAUGAUCAGCCACACUGGGACUGAGACACGGCCCAGACUCCUACGGGAGGCAGCAGUGGGGAAUAUUGGACAAUGGGCGAAAGCCUGAUCCAGCAAUGCCGCGUGAGUGAUGAAGGCCUUAGGGUUGUAAAGCUCUUUUACCCGGGAUGACAAUGACAGUACCGGGAGAAUAAGCUCCGGCUAACUCCGU
rnacentral:rRNA from 1 species